CGGCUAGAGCGGUACAUUGAAAGACGGAUUGACACUACCGGGUAUUGAAUUUGUCGACUUUUAAUCCGUAGGUUCCGGGUUCGAGCCCCGGGCGCCCUACCA
rnacentral:tRNA from 1 species